rnacentral:rRNA from 1 species
AGCAGCCGCGGUAAUUCCAGCUCCAAUAGCGUAUAUUAAAGUUGUUGCAGUUAAAAAGCUCGUAGUUGAAUUUCGGGGUCAGUAGGUCGGUCGUGCCACUGGUAUGAACUGGUUUUACUGAUUCCUCCCUCUUGAAGAACUGUAAUGCCAUUAAUUUGGUGUUGCAGGGAAUCAGGACUGUUACUUUGAAAAAAUUAGAGUGUUUAAAGCAGGCUUUUAGCUUGAAUACAUUAGCAUGGAAUAAUGAAAUAGGACGUUUGAUCCUAUUUUGUUGGUUUCUAGGAUUGACGUAAUGAUUAAUAGGGAUAGUUGGGGGCAUUAGUAUUCAAUUGUCAGAGGUGAAAUUCUUGGAUUUAUUGAAGACUAACUACUGCGAAAGCAUUUGCCAAGGAUGUUUUCAUUAAUCAAGAACGAAAGUUAGGGAUCGAAGACGAAUCAGAUACCGUCGUAGUCUUAACCAUAAACUAUGCCGACUAGGGAUCGGAUGAUGUUAAUUUUUAUGACUCAUUCGGCGCCUUAC